rnacentral:rRNA from 1 species
GCCGAACGCUGGCGGCGUGCCUAAUACAUGCAAGUCGAACGCAGUGGGGACGGGUGAGUAACACGUGGGUAACCUCCCAUCAGAGGGGAUAACACUUGGAAACAGGUGCUAAACCGAUAUUGCUGGCUGGACCCGCGGUGCAUUAGCUAGUUGGUGAGGUAACGGCUCACCAGGGCCACGAUGCAUAGCGGCCCUGAGAGGGAGAUGGGCCACACUGGGACGGAGACACGGCCCAGAAUCCUACGGGAGGCAGCAGGAGGGAAUCUUGGGCAAUGGACGAAAGUCUGACCGAGCAACGCCGCGUGAGUGAAGAAGGUUUUCGGAUCGUAAAACUCUGUUGUUAGAGAAGCGGUAUCUAACCAGAAAGCCACGGCUAACUACGUGCCAGCAGCCGCGGUAAUUC